rnacentral:lncRNA from 1 species
CUCUAGGGAGGUCAAAAUACUCAUGAACUUCACUAUCCAGUAGUGUUGAGAGUCACGGGGAGGGGAAAGAGAGAUAAGUAAAUAGCUUAGAAAAGUACCUACCACACAGCAAACACUCAAUAAUUGUUGUCAUUUUCUUUGGAUAGAAAAAUCAAGUUAUAAUGGGCACCUGGGUGGCUCAGCAGUGAAGUGCUCCACUCUUGACUUGGACUCAGGUCAUGGUCUUAUGAGAGGUUCCAGGUUGCAUGUGCUCUACAUGGGAGUUCACAGAGGGAAAUAAUUACGUGGCAACAAUACAACAGCUCUCAGACCUACCAUUUCCAAGCCCAUUGUCCCUAUGCUUUUGGUGGACAUUGCGUGGAGCUGGUUUUAAAGGUGUCCAGAGGACUUUAAGCAUGCUACUGCUUUGCACAAAUCAAGGCCAAAUUUCUCAAGCUUUCAGGCCCUACCACAUGCUCAUUAGAUGUGUCCAAUCUAAAGCAUUAAAUUAGAUGGUCAUUUUUCAAGAAGGUAACUCCAUAAGGAUAAAGCUGCCUGUUAUGUGGACCACAAAGCUAAAAGUCCAGUAGCCGUCAUGAGUCACCUAACCCUGAAGAAGGAAGGGCAUCACUGAGGCUGGAACAACAAAGAAACGACAGGAAGCUACAUCACAUCUCACCACGAAGAGCUGCCGCACCAGGCCUCGCCUGGCAACUCAGGAUGGCUUUUACACAUGUGUCAUGACGAGUCUGAUUCAUUUGUCUGUUGCUGUUGGUGGUGGUUUACUUUUUCCCUUCAGUUUUUAAAAUGAAUGAAGUAUAGUGGACAUAGAAUGUUAUACUAGUUGAUUCCAUUUUUUUUUACGUUUGACCACUUACAGCUUUCAAGGCUUGCCUCCCCACCUCCCCCAUGUCCACGCAUCUAGACAAGCUGAGAUGAAAUCUAGGUGCUCCCACCUUUGGUGCUGGCUAGCUCACCGUGUGAGCCUCAGCCUUAUCACACU